rnacentral:rRNA from 1 species
GCCAAGUGUGUAAGCGCAACGAUGGGUUGAGCUAACCGGUACUAAUGAACCGUGAGGCUUAACCUUACAACGCCGAAG